rnacentral:rRNA from 1 species
AGGACGAACGCUGGCGGCGUGCUUAACACAUGCAAGUCGAGCGGAAAGGCCCUUCGGGGUACUCGAGCGGCGAACGGGUGAGUAACACGUGAGCAACCUGCCCUUAGCUUCGGGAUAGCUCCGGGAAACCGGAAUUAAUACCGGAUAUGACUAUGGCCGACAUCAGCCAUGGUGGAAAGUUUUCGGCUAGGGAUGGACUCGCGGCCUAUCAGCUAGUUGGUGAGGUAACGGCUCACCAAGGCGACGACGGGUA